rnacentral:rRNA from 1 species
UGGGGAAUAUUGCACAAUGGGCGAAAGCCUGAUGCAGCGACGCCGCGUGGGGGAUGACGGUCUUCGGAUUGUAAACUCCUUUCAGUAGGGACGAAGCGAAAGUGACGGUACCUACAGAAGAAGCACCGGCCAACUACGUGCCAGCAGCCGCGGUAAUACGUAGGGUGCAAGCGUUGUCCGGAAUUACUGGGCGUAAAGAGCUCGUAGGCGGUUUGUCACGUCGUCUGUGAAAUCCUCCAGCUCAACUGGGGGCGUGCAGGCGAUACGGGCAGACUUGAGUACUACAGGGGAGACUGGAAUUCCUGGUGUAGCGGUGAAAUGCGCAGAUAUCAGGAGGAACACCGGUGGCGAAGGCGGGUCUCUGGGUAGUAACUGACGCUGAGGAGCGAAAGCAUGGGGAGCAAACAGG